UUCAAUCUUGUCGUGACGCUGUCUAGUGACAAAAGGGAUAAGGGCAUGUAUUGUAUUGUUGCCGUAAGAGGAAAAUAGUGGGUUGUGUCAUAUUGAUUGAUCUCUUCAUGCCUACAUUAUGUCAUCGUACUUAUUGUAUUACUCUUCUUUAUGAACUUAAUACUUUAAGAUACAUGUUGUAUAGCGAUCUUGGGGUGGAGUAAUUGUAAU
rnacentral:lncRNA from 1 species